GCGGAUGUAGCUCAGUGGUAGAGCAGUGGGUUUCCACCCCAUGUGCGCGGGUUCAAUUCCCGCUUUCCGCUCCA
rnacentral:tRNA from 2 species